ACUGCUCAGUAACACGUGGAUAACCUGCCCUUAGGACUGGCAUAACCCCGGGAAACUGGGGAUAAUUCCGGAUAGUUCAUGGUAGUUGGAAUGCUCCAUGAUCGAAAGCUAUUGCGCCUAAGGAUGGGUCUGCGGUCUAUCAGGUAGUAGUGGGUGUAAUGUACCUACUAGCCGACGACGGAUACGGGUUGUGGGAGCAAGAGCCCGGAGAUGGAUUCUGAGACAUGAAUCCAGGCCCUACGGGGCGCAGCAGGCGCGAAAACUUUACAAUGCGGGAAACCGCGAUAAGGGGACACCGAGUGCCAGCAUCUUAUGUUGGCUGUCCGCAUGUAUAAAUCACAUGUGUUAGCAAGGGCCGGGCAAGACCGGUGCCAGCAGCCGCGGUAAUACGAUCCCCCCG
rnacentral:rRNA from 1 species